rnacentral:rRNA from 1 species
AUUGAACGCUGGCGGCAUGCUUUACACAUGCAAGUCGAACGGAGUGGCGAACGGGUGAGUAAUGUAUCGGAACGUGCCCAGUAGCGGGGGAUAACUACGCGAAAGCGUAGCUAAUACCGCAUACUAAUGGUGCGGCCGAUCUCGGAGUAGUUAGUUGGUGGGGUAACUGCUCACCAAGGGGACGACCCGUAGCUGGUUUGAGAGGACGACCGGCAACACUGGAACUGAGACACGGCCCAGAAUCCAACGGGAGGCAGCAGUGGGGAAUUUUGGACAAUGGGGGAAACCCAGAGACAGCCAUCCCGCGUGUCCGAUGAAGGCCUUCGGGUUGUAAAGCGCUUUUGGCAGGAAAGCGGUACCUGCAGAAUAAGCAACGGCUAACUACGUGACAGCAGACGCGGUAAUAC